AAAUGACGGUACCUGACUAAGAAGGAGCGGCCAACUAUGUGCCAGCAGCCGCGGUGAUACAUAGGCUUCAAGCGUUGUCCGGAUUUAUUGGGCGUAAAGAGUUCGUAGGCGGUCGAGUAAGUCGGGUGUGAAAAUUCUGGGCUCAACCCAGAGACGCCACCCGAUACUGCUUAACUUGAGUUCGAUAGGGGAGUGGGGAAUUCCUAGUGUAGCGGUGAAAUGCGCAGAUAUUAGGAGGAACACCGGUGGCGAAGGCGCCACUCUGGAUCGACACUGACGCUGAGGAACGAAAGCAUGGGUAGCAAACAGGAUUAGAUACCCUGGUAGUCCAUGCGGUAAACGGUGGGCACUAGGUGUGGGUUUCUAUUAACGAAAUCCGCGCCGUCGCUAACGCAUUAAGUGCCCCGCCUGGGGAGUACGGUCGCAAGAAUGAAACUCA
rnacentral:rRNA from 1 species